rnacentral:lncRNA from 1 species
GCUUUUUAAGCCAUUUAACAAGUUCCUUCCCGGCGGCGUCUCUCGCAGCAACGUUACGCCGCCGUAAAUGUCGCCGGAAAUCGAGACCAGCAUAAUAAGGUACGUAAAUAGCUGAAGCCAACGACGAGUUUCUCGUCAAGCACUCAUAUCUCUUCAUUUUCUCGUGAAAAAUCACUUCGAGCAUGAACUGGUUAGUGGCGUACCAGCUCGGAGAGUAGUCAAAACCGUCACCGCCGAUCAAAGGUCCGAUUCCGGAGUUUUCGAGAUACUUACACAUACUGAUCUUGUCUUUUGGUCUUGUAAUAGACUUGCAGUCUUUAAUGAUUUCAAGAUUGAAUCGAGAAGGUAGAUUAUGGAUAUAUAUGUAGCGACCGAGACACGGGUCGUGACGGCGUUGAUGAUCGGAGUCGGAGGUGGUUGUGGUGGUGGUGAUGAGUAUGAUUUUGUCUUG